rnacentral:lncRNA from 10 species
CUUUUGAACAUUAACAUGCAUACCUCCAGUUACACACUCUGAGGUAUACACCUCAGAGUAGAAUUGCUCUUGAAGGUAUGUGCAUUUUCAACCUAACUUUUAAAGCAGUUAUCAAUCUGCUUUCCAAAACACAAACCAGGCAGAAUUAUGAAUCAAUUGGAAAAAUACCAUUAUAACAAGUCAUUAGGAAAAAGAUAUGAACAAAUAUAUCACAGAAGAAAAAAAAUAAAAUGGUCCAUCAACAUAUAAAUGAGUCUCUGUUUCACUAGUAGAGAGGGAAAUGCAUUCCUUAGUGAACCCAAAAAAGUUUAUUUUCCUUUCUUUUUUUUUUUUUUUUUUUUGAGUCAGACUCUCACUCUAUUACCCAGGCUGGAGUGCGGUGGCAUGAUCUCGGCUCACUGCAAACUCUGCCUCCCCAGUUCAAAUGAUUCUUCUGCCUUCUGCCUCAGCCUCCCAAAUAGCUGGAACUACAGCAAGGCCAACUUUUCUACCAGAUAACCCUGACCUCAUCCUGUCAGAAUUGAAUGGACCAAGAAUUGAGCUACCCUAAAAGGCCAGUUUUCUGGAAAUAGUUUGAAGAUACCGACUCAUGGUUAAAUGUUUCACAUUUACCCUCAGAAAUGAGUGCUACUGUUCAGAAACGGAGGUGCCCACUUUGCUUGUGGGAUUUAGGAGGAAAUGCCACACACUGUCAUAGAAAAAAUGGCGUCUCACUCUAUUGCCCAGGCUAGAGUACAAUAGUGCAAUCUUGGCUCACUGCAACCUCCCCCUCCCAGGUUCAAGCCAUUCUCCUGCCUCAGCCUCCCGAGUAGCUAGAACUACAAGCACGUGCACUGUACCCAGCUAAUUUUUUGUAUUUUUAGCAGAGACGGGGUUUCUCCAUGUUGGCCAGGCUGGUCUCGAACUCCUGACCUCAGGUAAUCCACCGCCUCAUCCUCCCAAAAUGCAUUAUCUCUUCCCAAAAUGCAUUAUCUAUUUCAUUAAGAAAAAGGAGAAAGCAACCAUGCUAAGCUUCAAAUAAAAGCAUGUGAGCACACCUGAUGACGCUAGACCCACUGGAAUCUCGCAUAACUCAUCCUGAACGUGUUGGGAAUCAAGUCUCUCAGGAUUAGCCCUGGUAAUCUGAAAGUCACCAGUCAUCAAGAAGUGGCAUCUCUACCAUGUGGUGCAAUCAUAGCCCUGAACUCAAAUUUCUGUCUGAUAUAUUUGAUGUGAUCCCUCCUUUUAUACCCUUUUAACUUCUGCUUGGAGAGACCCACUGACCUUGUAGCUGACUGUCAGAACUUUUCCUUGCCAGGCCAGCAAUAAAUUUGGCAUUGUUUUGGACAUUGAUUUGGUGGUCUUUGUUUCUUAGUGCUCAACAAUUUUAAUAGAGUCAGAAUCCAGAGAUAUAAUGGAUAAGCAGACUAUUAAUAAAGCACUAUUCACAAUUGCAAAGACUUGAAACCAACCCAAAUGCCCAAC